rnacentral:rRNA from 1 species
CAGUCGCCACGGGAAUACAGAGGGUGCGAGCGUUAAUCGGAUUUACUGGGCGUAAAGCGUGCGUAGGCGGCUUUUUAAGUCGGAUGUGAAAUCCCUGAGCUUAACUUAGGAAUUGCAUUCGAUACUGGGAAGCUAGAGUAUGGGAGAGGAUGGUAGAAUUCCAGGUGUAGCGGUGAAAUGCGUAGAGAUCUGGAGGAAUACCGAUGGCGAAGGCAGCCAUCUGGCCUAAUACUGACGCUGAGGUACGAAAGCAUGGGGAGCAAACAGGAUUAGAUACCCCAGUAGUCCCUGUCUCUUAUAC